rnacentral:rRNA from 1 species
UACGUAGGGUCCAAGCGUUGUCCGGAUUUAUUGGGCGUAAAGAGCUCGUAGGCGGUUCGGUAAGUCGGAUGUGAAAACUCAGGGCUCAACCCGGAGACGCCAUCCGAUACUGCUGUGACUGGAGUCUGGUAGGGGAUCACGGAAUACCUGGUGUAGCGGUGAAAUGCGCAGAUAUCAGGUGGAACACCGAUGGCGAAGGCAGGUCUCUGGGCAUUAACUGACGCUGAGGAGCGAAAGCAUGGGGAGCGAACAGG